rfam:Clostridiales bacterium 36_14 Ley3_66761_scaffold_15704, whole genome shotgun sequence.
UAUCAAAAAAAUUACAGUGGGCAUUAUCAAGAUACAGAGUUAGUUUUAUAUGAGAAAUAUACAUAUGAGGAUGUUUGGUAGUGGCGAGCGAAAGAGGAAGAGCCUAAACCAGAAGAAGUAAUUCAUCUGGGGUAAAGGACUACAUAAUUGAUUCAUAAGAUUUAGCAGAACUGUUUGGAAAAGCAGACCAAAGAUAGUGAAAGUCUAGUAAGCGAAAAAUCGAAUGACAUGGUAGAAUCCAGAGUAGUGCGAGACACGGGAAAUCUCGUAUGAAAAAGUGGGGACCACCCCAUAAGGCUAAAUACUACUUGGUGACCGAUAGUGAAGCAGUACCGUGAGGGAAAGGUGAAAAGAACCCCGGGAGGGGAGUGAAA